UACAGAGACUGCAAGCGUUAUUCGGAUUCACUGGGCGUAAAGGGUGCGCAGGCGGCCAAGUGUGUUAGGCGUGAAAGCCCGGGGCCUAACCCCGGAAUUGCACCUAAAACUACAUGGCUAGAGCAUUGGAGAGGGUAGCGGAAUUCACGGUGUAGCAGUGAAAUGCGUAGAUAUCGUGAGGAACACCAGAGGCGAAGGCGGCUACCUGGACAAUUGCUGACGCUCAGGCACGAAAGCGUGGGGAGCAAAAGGG
rnacentral:rRNA from 1 species